AAAACGGCCAAAAGCCGCUGCACACCCCCAUCGGCACCAUGGGGCACCAGCCCGAGAGCCCGCCGAGUCUGAUCGGGUCACCCCGCAGCGGUGGCGGCAUCCGGAGCCCGGCGAGGCGGUGGCGGAGCUCGGAGGCGGCUCCAGCCCAGGGUGCCAUCAGCGCGGGGGUAAAGCUGUUCCCGAGGCCGAUCUUUGAAAGGCGUUGACAGCGAUUCUGAUGUCUCGGGAGCAUAACGCUGUUUGCUCCAGGCAGAAAGAUGCAGGCUGUGAGCUGGAGAACAGAUCAGCAACAGGAAAUACACACAGAAGAUUCCAGGGUGAAUGGUUCAGGUCCCAUCCCGUGGGCCUGGCGGUGCUGAUUCUGCUGCUCCUGCUGCUGGUGCUGGCUUUGGGGGUGGCCUUGGCUGUGCAGGCAGUUACACCUGCGACUCCGCUGUUGGUUCUGGGCUGUCCCCCUGGCUGGGUUGGGUUCAAUGGGGUCUGCUACUACUUGUCAAAUGAUUCCAGCACCUGGGAGCAGGGUCAGGAAUGGUGCUCCGUGCUCGGGGCCUCCCUGGCUGUUCCCAAGAGUAAAGAUGUGGAUUUGGAAUGGCAAUUACUGGCUUGGGAUGCGCCAACGAGCUGAGAGUCUGCUGUGGGGGGGCAGCAGCAGCGACAGCUACAGCAACAGCUACUCGGCUGCUAUCACUGACACUUUCGAGUGUAUCUACUUGGCUUCCAAGAGCUUCUUCCGUGAUUCCUGCUCAGAUCAUCGGCUGCAUCUCUGCAGCAAGGCCUAAGCUCCCCUGUAACAAGGGCUGCAGAAAGGACCUUCUCCACACUGGGCAGUGCCAACUUCACCUCUCAGCCCAGCACAGGGCUGUCCUUCCUCAGCUGCACCAUGUGCCUUGCACUUCCUCUCAGGGUCACCUCAGAGCCUCUUCAUCCCCAGUGCCAGCGCUGGGCUGGGUGUGCAAAGGAGAAGUCUCUGCAAUCCAUCCUGCCACCGAUGCUGCCUGGAAUGCCCUCAUUAUAUGUGAGAAGCAUGGCUCACUAUUUAAAUCUUUUAUGGAUGUUUAUUAAAGGAUAAAAUCCAGCACUGGGGUGCUUUGCUAUUUUCCAAAAGCCCGGGUUAGCUUUAACUAUGUUCUCUAUAUACUGUUACAUUAUAUGGCUACAUGCAUAUUCAAAGGACUUUAUACAUAUUCAUACAUUCCUUUGUGUUUCCAUAUUCUUUUCUUUGGUUUUAACCUUUGACUUGUCCUCCUACAAUCUUCUCAACUAAACUAAUAUAUUUUAUUUUUUUUUGUGGUUCUAUCUUGUUCUGUUUUCACUCGCUGAUAACAAGGCCCCAUAAAUUCUUUAUAUAUAUAUAUAUAUAUAUCAGAAGCAGUAAUUGUAAAUUGUACUAUAUCAGGAUUUUAGUGAUCUAUAAGAACUUGCAAAACAAAGGUUAAUACAUAAAUGCCAACAUCUAAAUUUGUUAUUUUUUAAGGAUCUGUUAUAAAAUAACUGUUAUCUCUUGAGUAACUGUUUGUAAUAAUUAUUUGUUAUUACAUUCUCCAGCAAGCUCAGUUGGGAAAUCCAAAUUGCCCUGGGCUCUUGGAAAUCAUCAUGAACUGGCCUGAAGGUGGGACAGCAGUUAGAUGCAUGGAGCCAUGUAUCCAGAGCCAUGUCCCUGGGCGUGCCAGCCCGUGUGUGCACACAGGUGUUGCAGUGCAGGUCAGUCCUAGCAGUCAGUUUUAUAACCCCCCCUAUUUUAUAUUGUUAUGACAUUUUUUGUCAUUAAUGGUUUGUUCCUUUCCCCCCCGUCACUGGUUUUGCCCUAGUUGUCCAUCUUCCCAAAGACCUGCCCUUUGUUCCCGAAUGUUCCCUGUUCCUCCUGCCACUGACUGUCAACCCCUCCCUAUAUCUCCCCCUUUCUCUUGAAGCUUCCCUGUGAUUCUUGUAUCCUUCGAGGCCCCAUUGGUUUGUUUAAACUGCUCUCCUCCCCUGUAAUGCCCUAUUGGUUUAAACAUUGUAUCCCCCCCUUGUGUUCCUCCCCUAGCUUUUCCCCAUUGGUUAAAGUUUUGUACGCUCCCGUGAGACGUCCCCUGUAUGUAAGUUGAUGUGUACCUUUGCUCAGGGUUUUUCUGUCCCUGACUCUCCUGGGAAUGAACAUCUUUGGAAAACAUACAGACGACCUCUGACUGUUCCUUGUCCCUAUUCCCAACGCAGUUUACUUGUGCUGUAGAGCAGCUGUGACUGACAGCCACACCCUGGAUCCAGCAGCUUUCUGGGUGUGCCCACUCUCACUGAUGGUGUUGGGAGUUAACUGGGCUGAAGAAAUCCGGCACCGCAGCACACAGGGACAUGUGCAGAGCCAGUGCUCACACACACAGGUACCUGCUCACCUGCACAGAGCUCCUGUGCACCACAGCACCUGCUAGCAGCACACACCUGUGCUGCACAGACACUCACCUGUGCACAGUCCCUACCGAUGCACGCGUGCCCCCAAGCACGAGACCUGUUGGCACGUAGAGCCUGAGCACAGCAACGUGUGCAGUGUCACACACACCAACACGCACCUGUCCUACACAGAGCCAUGCUCACACCUGCAGAACCUGUGCACACUCACAAGCACAAGCACAGAGCUGUGCACAGCCCCACUCACAGCUGAGAGUGCAAUGCGGCACCCGUGCCCACAGCAGGGCACACAGCACGUGCCCACGGCAGCACAUCCCUGGGCACAGAGCUGUGCACAGCAGCACACACGUGCCCGGUGCAGAGAAGGACGUGUGCCCUCACACCUGGGCACAGCAGCACACAUGUGCACACAGAGCCGGGCACACUGGCACACUGGCACAGCUGUCCUGGCCCCGACACUCCUGGGGUCUCUCCUCAUGGCAUCGUGACAUGGUGGGCAUGGGGACAUUGUGGCACUGUUUAAAGAGCACCUUCUGUGCCCUUGGGGUGGGGACACACAGGCCUGUUCUAAAGGAAAGGUUAAAGAGGGACCACGCUGGAUUCUUGCUUCUUGCUUUUCACCCUCCAAGGGCCAAACUGAGCUCGUUUUGCUGUCCCAUGUUCCCCUAGAGCCUGACCAGCUCAAAGGAGAGGAUUGGAAAGAUUGAUUGAGGGUCACUGCUGGUGCACAGCACACAGGGCAUUUUUUACCCCUUACAUUACCAUGGGAUGCUGGGGGAGGAACUAACAACAGCCUGAGCCCACUGCCUUAGGAGCUUGUGCUCUGUCAAGGGGCACCUUUUACUUCUUACCUGAGGAGGCGAAUGUGUGGCCUCUGGUGCUGUGGAGGGCAGUUCACAGUCCCCUGGGGAUACGGAAAGAAAAGCUCCAGGCCUCUCCGUGGGGGACAGUGACUUUGAAACAAAGUUUUUCAUCAAGAUUUCAUCUCAGAAAGAAAGGGGGAAAGGUGUCUGUGUUAUGCAUGGAAAUUUGAGUGGAAAACAACUGCAAUUUCUAAUAAAUAAUUCUCAUCAAUGUAAGGCCUCCUGGUUUCUAAAGUUUUGGUUUCUAAAGUUCAGUCUGACAGAAACCCAUUUUCUGAUGUACAACUGUCAGUGCUGACUUAAGGUACACUUUUACAAGGUAUAUAUUUAGUUUUCUAUAGCAGGGCUAGUGAUUCUAUGAGCGUCUGAAUCCUUGCACUGUAACAAAGCCUUUGAAUCCCAGCUAUGAGAGGGCAGCCACAGGCAGGAAGACAGCUGCACCUAGUUACCAGGGGAUUAAAUUGGAACUGAAAUAAACAGGGCAGGAGAUUCUCCUCCUUUUAAUGCCUUUAAUAAAGUGAUCAGCUCGAAAAUGGGGGUUUUGGCAGAUCUGCAGAGUUCUGCCACCACUCCCAGCAGUGAAUCAGAAGUGGAGGAUUUGCAGCGCUGUCCCCAAGGGGGCAGGCUCGGGAGUCCUGUCCUCGCAAGGCAGUGGAGUAUUCCCAAGGUUUUUUGGUUAAGGUUGUCAGUUCAGCGGGUCCUGGGUCUGACUGACUCAGAACAGGAAAGCUCCACAUUUGGGAUCCUACUAACACUUCUGAGUUAGCUCCCUGGCUGUGGUGUUACAUUGUAUUUAAAUAGUAUGCACUGUCUGACCCCUCGAAAAUGUAGGUUUAUUCCAACCCUGUGAUCCUCCCCUGAAGUAUCUGUAAUCCCACUGGCCCAAGUCUUAUUCUGCACCCACCUCAAAUCUCCGUGUUAAGCUGUGUGAGGGAGACCAGACGCUCUCUUGGCGCUUUCCUCCCUGGGCUCUCCCUCUCU